rnacentral:rRNA from 1 species
UCGAGAAUUUUUCUCAAUGGGGGAAACCCUGAAGGAGCGACGCCGCGUGGAGGAUGAAGGUCUUCGGAUUGUAAACUCCUGUCAUUCGAGAACAAGGUCCGGCAGGUAACUAUUGCCGGACUCGAUAGUAUCGGAAGAGGAAGGGACGGCUAACUCUGUGCCAGCAGCCGCGGUAAUACAGAGGUCCCAAGCGUUGUUCGGAUUCAUUGGGCGUAAAGGGUGCGUAGGUGGCAUGGUAAGUCGGGUGUGAAAUCCCGGGGCUCAACCCCGGAACUGCACUCGAUACUACCGUGCUCGAGUACUGGAGAGGAGACUGGAAUUUACGGUGUAGCAGUGAAAUGCGUAGAUAUCGUAAGGAAGACCGGUGGCGAAGGCUAGUCUCUGGACAGUUACUGACACUGAGGCACGAAGGCCAGGGGAGCAAACGG